rnacentral:rRNA from 1 species
UACGUAGGGUGCAAGCGUUUGUCCGGAAUUAUUGGGCGUAAAGAGCUCGUAGGCGGUCUGUCGCGUCUGCUGUGAAAACCCGGGGCUCAACCCCGGGCUUGCAGUGGAUACGGGCAGACUAGAGUUCGGUAGGGGAGACUGGAAUUCCUGGUGUAGCGGUGAAAUGCGCAGAUAUCAGGAGGAACACCGGUGGCGAAGGCGGGUCUCUGGGCCGAUACUGACGCUGAGGAGCGAAAGCGUGGGGAGCGAACAGG